UACGGGGGAUGCAAGCGUUAUCCGGAAUUAUUGGGCGUAAAGCGCCUGUAGGUGGUUUAAUAAGUCUGUUGUUAAAGCCUAGGGCUUAACCUUAGAAAAGCAAUGGAAACUGAUAGACUAGAGUAUGGCAGGGGUAGAGGGAAUUUCUAGUGUAGCGGUGAAAUGCGUAGAUAUUAGAAAGAACACCAGUGGCGAAAGCGCUCUACUGGACCAUUACUGACACUCAGAGGCGAAAGCUAGGGUAGCAAAAGGGAUUAGAUACCCCUGUAGUCCUAGCCGUAAACGAUGGAUACUAGAUGUUGUGCGUAAUGUACAGUAUCGUAGCUAACGCGUUAAGUAUCCCGCCUGGGGAGUACGCUCGCAAGGGUG
rnacentral:rRNA from 1 species